CUGCCCAAUGAUUUAUUUAAUGGCCGCAGUAUUUUGACUGUGCAAAGGUAGCAUAAUAAUUAGUCUUUUAAUUGGAGGCUGGUAUGAAGGAUUGGACGAGAUAAAUACUGUCUCAAUUAAAUUAUGAUUUAAUUUAAUUUUUAAGUAAAAAAGCUUAAAUUUAAUUAUAGGACGAGAAGACCCCAUAGAGUUUUAUAUUAACUUUUAUAUUUUCUAUUAAAUUAUAUUAAAUUAUAUUUUAAUAUUUUAUUGGGGCGAUAGAAAAAUUUAAUAAACUUUUUUAAUAUUUAUACAAAGAUUAUUGAAAUGUUGAUCCUAAAUUUUAGAUUAUUAGAUUAAGUUACCUUGGGGAUAACAGCGUUAUUUUUUUUAGAAGUUCAUAUUAAUAGAAAAGAUUGCGACCUCGAUGUUGGAUUAAAAUAAUUUUUUGGUGUAGAAGCUAAAAUAUU
rnacentral:rRNA from 1 species